rnacentral:rRNA from 1 species
AGGAGACAGGUGCUGCAUGGCUGUCGUCAGCUCGUGUCGUGAGAUGUUGGGUUAAGUCCCGCAACGAGCGCAACCCUUAUCUUUAAUUGCCAGCAUUCAGUUGGGCACUUUAAAGAGACUGCCGGUGUUAAACCGGAGGAAGGUGGGAUGACGUCAAGUCCUCAUGGCCUUUAUGCUUAGGGCUACACACGUGCUACAAUGGGUGGUACAAAGAGAAGCCAACUCGCGAGAGCGCGCCAAUCUCAAAAGCCAUCCUCAGUUCGGAUUGGAGUCUGCAACUCGACUCCAUGAAGUUGGAAUCGCUAGUAAUCGCGGAUCAGCAUGCCCGCGGUCCGAAUACGUUCCGGGCCUU